ACUCAAAUGAAUUGACGGGGGCCCGCACAAGCGGCGGAGCAUGCGGAUUAAUUCGAUGCAACGCGAAGAACCUUACCUGGGUUUGACAUAUGCCGGAAACGUCUGGAGACAGGCGCCCUUUUAGUCGGUAUACAGGUGGUGCAUGGCUGUCGUCAGCUCGUGUCGUGAGAUGUUGGGUUAAGUCCCGCAACGAGCGCAACCCUCGUUCCAUGUUGCCAGCAGCGUCCUUCGGGGCGGCUGGGGACUCAUGGGAGACUGCCGGGGUCAACUCGGAGGAAGGUGGGGAUGACGUCAAGUCAUCAUGCCCCUUAUGUCCAGGGCUUCACGCAUGCUACAAUGGCCGGUACAAAGGGUUGCGAUGCCGUGAGGCGGAGCGAAUCCCAAAAAGCCGGUCUCAGUUCGGAUUGGGGUCUGCAACUCGACCCCAUGAAGUCGGAGUCGCUAGUAAUCGCAGAUCAGCAACGCUGCGGUGAAUACGUUCCCGGGCCUUGCACACACCGCCCGU
rnacentral:rRNA from 1 species